AGCUCCAAGAGCGUAUAUUAAAGUUGUUGCAGUUAAAAAGCUCGUAGUUGGAUUUCUGGUCUAAUGCGCCUGGCCCGUGGUCGUAAGACUUAUGAGUGCCGGUGCGCGUUUGCCAUCCUUCUAGAAAACGUUUCUGCUCUUAACUGAGUCGGAUUCGCGAUCUAGAUCUUUUACUUUGAAAAAAUUAGAGUGUUUAAAGCAGGCUUUUGCUAUGAAUACAUUAGCAUGGAAUAAUAAUCUAGGACUUCGGUUCUAUUUUGUUGGUUUCUAGAAUUGGAGUAAUGAUUGAUAGGGAUAGUUGGGGGUGCUAGUAUUGGCCGGCCAGAGGUGAAAUUCUUGGAUUCGGUCAAGACUAACUUAUGCGAAAGCAUUCACCAAGGAUGUCUUCUUUAAUCAAGAA
rnacentral:rRNA from 1 species